GACGAACGCUGGCGGCGUGCUUAAUACAUGCAAGUCGAACGGAAAGGCCCGGCUUUUGUGCGGUGCACGAGUGGGGAGCACGGGUGAGUAACACGUGUAUCAUCUACCUAUCAGUGGGGGAUAAUCUCGGGACACGGGCGCUAACCGCGUAGAAGCUACUGAUGCGCGGGGUUGGUUGGAGAGAUUCGGCGGUUGGGUCUGGACUCGCGGCGUAUCAGCUUGUUGGGGAGGUAACGGCGUACCAAGGCUGUGAUGGGUAGCCGACCUGAGAGGGUGAUCGGCCACACUGGAACUGAGACACGGUGCAGACGCCUACGGGAGGCAGCAGUAGGGAAUCUUCCGCAAUGGGCGAAAGCCUGACGGAGCAACGCCGCGUGAGUGAUGAAGGUCUUCGGAUCGUAAAACUCUGUUAUUAGGGAAGAACAAAUGUGUAAGUAACUAUGCACGUCUUGACGGUACCUAAUCAGAAAGCCACGGCUAACUACGUG
rnacentral:rRNA from 1 species